rnacentral:tRNA from 2 species
GCCGUUGUAGCUCAAUUGGCAGAGCGGGGCAUUCGUAAUGCCCAGGUUGCCGGUUCGAGUCCGGCCAACGGCU